rnacentral:rRNA from 1 species
GGUAAUAUAGAGUGUAGGCUUUGCCUGCUAUCUCUUACCCAUGUCUUUUGAGUACCUUACGUUUCCUCGGUGGGUUCGCCCACCGAUUGGACAAAUUUAAACCCUUUGCAGUUGAAAUCAGCGUCUGAAAAAACUUAAUAGUUACAACUUUCAACAACGGAUCUCUUGGUUCUGGCAUCGAUGAAGAACGCAGCGAAAUGCGAUAAGUAGUGUGAAUUGCAGAAUUCAGUGAAUCAUCGAAUCUUUGAACGCACAUUGCGCCCCUUGGUAUUCCAUGGGGCAUGCCUGUUCGAGCGUCAUUUGUACCUUCAAGCUCUGCUUGGUGUUGGGUGUUUGUCUCCUGUAGACUCGCCUUAAAACAAUUGGCAGCCGGCGUAUUGAUUUCGGAGCGCAGUACAUCUCGCGCUUUGCACUCAUAACGACGACAUCCAAAAGUACAUUUUUACACUCUUGACCUCGGAUCAGGUAGGGAUACCCGCUGAACUUAAGCAUAUCAUAGGCCCGGAGGAAUCGUACGAAGAGUUUGCGGAAUGCCUGCUUUCUUGUACCAUUGAUUUUGGAUUUCAAUUUACCCCCGUGGCGCCCCCCCAACGGAAAAAGUUAAGUUUAGCUCUAAUAAAGUCGGACCGGUACGGAU